UGCCCAGCAACUCCUAUCCCUACCUCCUCGUGGUACUGGCCGGGGUACGAGUAACCUUGGGGACAAUCGGGUAACCAACCCCCGGUGGGAACUUUGGUCGUAUGCUGACAGGGAAGG
rnacentral:ribozyme from 1 species